AUAACAGGAGGUGUCAGAGUGGAAGAGCUGAAGGAGAAAGGAGGUAGUGGCUGCAGACAGAUGUGAAGUUAGACUUCAGAUGCUGUCAAAUGUCAUGUUCACAUGUAUUUCUGGGGUGAAGAUGAUCCUGAUUAAUGAGUUCUUUCCAGCAGUCAGUUUGUUAUCACUGUGAUUAUUCAGUAUGUCUUUGUGCAGAGGCUGCGGCUCCUGGGUUGUCUCAUCUGAAAUGUCCCCUCUGAUUGGGAAGCCACAUCUCUCACAGGUGGCCAAGCUGUACCCAACUCCUGGCUGCUGGAUCUGUGCCCUUGCAGAGACGGCUGAAGCAGGAACAGCCGGUGGUGAUGACUGCAGACGGGUCCACAGGAGCUGGCAGCAGAAACAAGAGAGCAGCCUUACCAGGCAUGAGAAGUAGGGCCUUCCAUGAGAGAGUGAGCAGGAGAGACAGACCAAGCGUGAGAAGCUGGUGGGUGGCCUGGGCAGAGGAAGCGGUGAGGGGCAGGAGAAGGAGGGCGUGGAGCUUUGACCUACUGGCAUAUCAUCUCCAUCUCCACCUGGAUUGGCUGUCCUUUACUGCAUGACAUAUGUCCUCUAAAUGUGGGGGCUUCCAACUACAGUGAUCAUUUUACUAUCUCCCACAGUUUCUCUGGGUCAGAAGUUCAGACAUGGCACAGUGGGAUGGCUUGUCAUUUACUGACAGAGGAAAGCCCUCUGAAAUCUUGCAGGGAGGGUGGUGAGGUGGUUGUGCACUGAGGAACACUGUACAACACUCAGGAAACGAUGGAUUGUGCAUGACCAGAGGAGUGGAGAGAUUUUGGCUCAGAGUGAGUUGGGAUGGCUUCAGCAUGUCUUCAUUCACUUUCCCAUGCCCUGGCACCUCAGUUUCUCUCUCUGCCAUUUGCUCUCUUUUUCUGGUAAUAGUAAUGCUGUGCAGAAUUAGACCAUGCAGGCAACAGAGGAGCAUGGCGGGUGUGUGUGUGCAGUUGUGGGGAUGGUGCUGACUACUCUCGAUAUCACGGCUGUGAUGCACCACAUGAAAACUAACCUAGUCUUACUAAGGAGAGAUGUUAUUGGAAAAGAUUCUUGCAUGGGGAGGAGGGCUAUUGCCACAGGGAAGGAGAUCACACCAACCAUGGGAUUUGCCAACGUCACAAGGGUGAGGCAAAGAGGGUGUUUCUUUUAUGAAGGGAAGCCAACAAGGCCAGAAAGAACCAAGUGGGGAAAGUGGCUUGAAGAAGUGGAGGUGGCGUGAUUGAGACCAGACUGUAGAUCCCAGAGUGUUCUCAGGAGGGGCUGUGUGCUGGCUCAGAAGGAGAGAUGGUCUGCCAAAGUGUGGUUAGCAAGCAUUUUGUUCCAAUUGAUCAGUGGGACAGAAAGCUCAAUACAUCACUUACGACUCAAGGAAUGGGAGUUUGGAGGGUCUGUGUCUGACCUUAUCAUAGGUAAAUGGGUGUGGGCAACUGUGACUUUUAUCUAAGUCAUGUGAGGCAUUUUUGCAGUGUUCUCAGAACAUAAAAGGUGGGGCAAUUUCUUAACCUUCGCUGUUUUCUAAGAUUGCAAGGCUCCUGUGAAGUUUAGCCUUGUCAUGUGGUUCCAAAGGACAGGCGUGUGUGAGACACUGCCCUGACAUCCACUUAGAGCAAGGCCGGGCCUGAGAAUGUGGUGGCGAGUGAAGUCUGCCUGUCCUCCACUCAGCAUCAUGGGGAGUGGGUUCUCCACCCCUGCAGGCAUUCAGUGCAGGCUGGGCAAUCUGUAUGAAGGCCUGUGGCUUAAAAGUCCAGCUGUUGCCGGGAGCUCUGGGCUCCCUGAGGUCUCUGAGUCGGCUGUUUCUCUCUGCAGUAUCCCAGGUGGGCUAGUGUAUGUGCUGCCGAGUGGGGAAGGCUUGAGCUCCUCCUUGCUUCUGGUCAUUGGCUCCUAGAAAUUCAAUGUUACUCUCAGAGUGAGAGUAAAUAACAGGAGAUGUGUUUUUUCCUUCAGCGGCAGAUGUAUGUCUGGAAAACAACUGUUUGAGAAUUUCAUUAAAAAUCAAAGCCUGUUGUCAUUUUUGAGACUUUAUUUCAUGCUGUGAUAUAGUGUUGGAAUAAAAAGCUUGUUGUAAUUUAAUCCCCUAAUUCUCCUGUGUAAGAGUCAUACAGUCUGGGGCACUACACUUCUGAUCCGAGGCACUACUGAUAAAGGGGAUCCUCAUUCCUAUCCCUGUGAGGGGCUCCCUGGCUUUUACAUGAGGAAGCUACAGCAUUAUGUUUGGACCAGUGCAUCAGUGAAGCUGCUAUUGAAGAUAAAAAUCCAGGCCUUGUGAAUCACAUGGAGAUCCCAUUAAAAACACAGUGAUUAAGUAAUUAGCUCCCUUGAGACUCCUUGGGUAAAUGUGGAUUUUUAUGUAUUUCAUUUUUGUACACUAUAACUCAAUGAUGGUGACUUUCCUUGGGCUCUGGUUCUGGUUUGAAAGCACAGAGUUGGGCAUGCAGUGCUGUAUGCACAGUUCCCAGAGGUCUGCAGACUUGGCAUGAAGGAGGCUCCUAGGUUGGCUGGAAACUUAUCUCAGCCACACACAGUCUGUGGCUUGGCAGGCUCUGGCAGACCCUGCCUACUGGAAUGAGUAACUGUGAACAAGAAGUUCACAGAGUUCUGUGGUUUGGUAAACAUUUUCAGCUGGCCAAGUGUUUCCACCCAAGACACCAUGAGUAGAGAGGAGACAGUGAUGACUUCAGGGCCCUGUUGGUGGCACACCCUCAGUAACAGCUAGUUCUGGCUGCAGUUAGUGUCUUGGGAGGAGAGUGUCAGUGGGAGGUAGAUGCUUCAUCAUGAGGCCUGUAGCAUGAGCCCAGAGAGGGAUGGAGGGAAUCUCGAGGCUGAAAUCUGAAAGUAAAUUCUAGGGGAAUCACAGACACAGGGCCUCAUUCUGUCACCCACACUAGAGUGCAGUGGUGUGAUCACAGCUCACUGCAGCCUUGAACUCCUGGGCUCAAGUGAGCCUCCUGCCUCAGCCUCCUGAGCAGCUGAUUCCAUAGUAGGAGCCACUGUUCCUGGCUGGAAGAAAAUUCUUUCUAUUGCGGCACACCCCAGCUAUGUUGUUAUGCCCAGACCCUUUAUUCCCUGAAGAAGACCACCAGAGUCCAGAGUCAAAGCCAAGCGGCAAGGAUCUUUAUUGCAAGUUCGAACUUGGUCCCUCCGUUCCACAACAUACAAGAGAGCCCCGAACAAUGCGUGCGCUCGCUUCUUA